rnacentral:rRNA from 1 species
CCUACGGGAGGCAGCAGUGGGGAAUAUUGCACAAUGGGGGAAACCCUGAUGCAGCGACGCCGCGUGAGUGAAGAAGGAAUUCGGUAUGUAAAGCUCGAGCAGCAGGGAAGAAAAUGACGGUACCUGAGUAAGAAGCCACGGCUAACUACGUGCCAGCAGCCGCGGGAAUACGUAGGGGGCAAGCGUUAUCCGGAUUUACUGGGUGUAAAGGGAGCGUAGACGGCAGUGGAAGUCUGGAGGGAAAGGCGGGGGCUCCACCCCCGGACGGCUCUUGAAACGGUACGGCUGGAGUGCAGGAGAGGUCAGUGGCAUUCCUAGUGUAGCGGUGACAUGCUUAGAUAUUAGGA